UGCCAGCCGCCGCGGUAACACGUACUGUGCGAACGUUAUUCGGAAUCACUGGGCUUAAAGGGUGCGUAGGCGGCUUUGCAAGUCAGAUGUGAAAUGCCACAGCUCAACUGUGGCACUGCGUUUGAAACUGCAUGGCUUGAGUAUUCCAGGGGUGAGCGGAACUGCCAGUGGAGCGGUGAAAUGUGUUGAUAUUGGCAGGAACACCGGUGGCGAAAGCGGCUCACUGGGGGAUAACUGACGCUGAGGCACGAAAGCCAGGGGAGCGAACGGGAUUAGAUA
rnacentral:rRNA from 1 species